UAGAGUAGCAGCAACUGUUUAUUAAAGUUUCUUGGCAGAUCAUUCACAGCACAGUUCUGUCUAUAUCACAUAAAACAAAUAGGCCUUUGAAACGACCAGGUUGAAAUCUUCAUGAGUCAUGGGAUGUAUGGUGCUAACUAGACCCAAGGCCAAAUAUAUUGCUACUGCAGCAAGCUACCAUUCUAAUUACUUAAUUACCAUCUAGCCUAGUUACACUUUUGACCUUGUAAAAUUUAAGUGAUAAAGAUUACAUUUAAGAAUGAUCGCAUCAAGACCAAGGCUAAACAGAGUAUUCACUCUGUUUCAUGUCAACCCCUGGGGAAUUUUCUCUGCCCUUUUCUCAUUCACUUGAGAAUUACUGGAGUAGUCUGUAAGGACAAAAUAUGGUCUUGCGACUGUGCUAGGUGCUUCACAGUGUAUGCACAACAUUUAGGUAUCCUAUGUUAGUAGACCAAUUGGAUUUCCAUUAUGAAAUAUCUCAUGGAAUGUAGCAAGCACACAACUGUGCCAAGCCCAUGCACAUGAUUUUCCUAUACCACCCAUACUAGUUUCACUGAUUACUCACUUCCUUAGCUACAAAAACACACGGCAAGUCUCUUCAGGCUCAAACAUCUGUACACAAACUAUUUGAGCAAACAUAUUUCCAUGUGCUCACAGCUCAGUUGCUGUGACAGACAUUUUAAGCCUUCUGUUGGUAAACAAAACUUGACUACAGAAAGGUACGAGGCUAAAAAUUAAAUUACAUAUUCCAUACCCUUGUAUUCAAAUUUUGCCUUACAUACAUUUGAACUGUACUUUGUAACAAUCAAUCACUGCACACUCUAAGUGGGCAUAUUAACAACACCUAUCUUUAUUCUUAUAUUUUGUCUUCUUCUUGUUAAAUAUUUGUUAUCAAACUGACAUUGUUGCGUUUUUUUUUUUUUUUUUUUUUUUGCAUAUACUCAUCUUCAUCAUCUUGUUAACAGCUCUUUGCAUGAUAAAUGACAGUCUUGGUGUGCCUUUCAGCUGCUGACAUUGUUAAAGCAAAUUGAUGGGGUAAACUUUAGCAAUAAAGCAAAGCUAGAGAGUGAUCAGUUCUUUUUUUCUCUAGACCAUGUCUAAUACAAUGUACCUCACUUCUACUUAAUGCACCAUGGAAAGCUGAAAAAGAAACAUCACCUUUAAAGGACUAUACAUACUAUAAGAUGUGUGAGGAUGAUUUAUGCAGAAAAAAAAAAAGCCAAAGUUAGUCUAAAAGAUUGGAUUACUCACUGUGUUUGCUGAAGUAAUUGUUAGCUUUAUGAAUGCUACCUGUGAAGAUUUGAAAGCAAGAAUCUGUGAAACAGCCAAGUAUUUACACCAUCCAGGAACCUGUGCAGUGGUUUCAAAUAUAUACAUGACAGACUCCUUUCCUUCCUCUCUAUGCCCUCUUCUUUUAGAAAGAGAGAAUACAGAUACUCAGGCAUCAGCGUUGGAAGUCUUCUCCACAAACAGUAUCUUAAAUGUAUGGUUGUAAUAAAAUAAUAAAACAUUCUAAAACCUUUAAAAGCAGUAAUAUAGUUUAAAUCCUUACAGGCUCUGUUAUAUAUGAAUCAGCAGGUGAACAAUUUCUUGCCUUAAGUCACAAAUCCUUAUGCCACCUCCCCACUUCCCUUCUCAAAAAAAAUGAUUUUCAGUUCAAAAUUACAUAAAAUAGCAAAUGAUAAAUUGUAAUACACUUUCUGAAGAGAAAACAGAAGAUGCAGCAACAUAAUUGGUAGACAUUCAUUUAAUCACUGUAAAUUUUAAGUCUAAUGUCAAUAUUACCAAUCUACUCUGUAGGAUUUAUUUCAUCUAGACAUCAUUAAUCAUGCACGUAUGAUACAAAGGUUGUAAGUUUUUAAAAUAAAUAAGAAAAAUUAGGUAAUCAAUUUCUGUGAAAAAAAUACCUUCAUCUAGUUGAGAGGAAACUUGACCCACUUCCCACUGCAGCAGUUACAGGUAGUUACAAGUUGUACUGUUAGUUUCCAUUCUUCCCUACAUUUCUUCUGUUUCUAAGCAUAAAAGACCAGGACUGCAAAGGCAUCGGUGAACACCCAACUUCAAAACCUGCCUUUUAAAGCCUUAGAUUUUUUUUUUUUCCAAAAAAAAAAUAAAACAAACUGGAAUGAGAAUCAUAUUCGUGUGUUAGAAGUAAUUAUCUGACAAUGCUGUAGUUCUUUAAAGGGAAGCUAUAAUUUCAGUUCUGCCUCGGCAACACUUCUGUGGAUUCUGCUUCACUGAGUACAGCAGGAGCCGUGCAGGCUGUCUGAAACCAUCUUCAGCUGAACAUUAACAUUCAAAAGGUGUACCAAGAAAAAAAAAAGAAGAAGAAAAAAAGAAGAAAAGAAAAGAAAAGCAGGGGAUAUUCCCACAUUUUUGCAAAAUCAGAGGAUUUUCCACUCUCUCAACCUGAAGUCCUGCAGCUGAGGCACAUUUGAUUCACCCCACUGCUAUGGCAAGAAAUUGUUACACAGCUAAUUGUCUACUGGUACCUCCUCCACCCCACUCCCUCCUGUCUGUAACAUUCAUGACAAGACUUGACAAAAGAGGCUG
ensembl:lncRNA